rnacentral:rRNA from 1 species
AUGCCAGUAGAGAUACGUCAGUUAUUUUCUGACAUAACUUCGUUUUUUUUCUAUGGAUAUUGCAUAUCUAUUUGUUGUUUCGAAGGAGGUAAGCCAAGGGCGAGAAAUAGAGCAUGCCGUAUGUGGUUUUUCAUUUCAGGCAAUAAAUACUAUCAGGCUGGUUUGUGCUGUGUUGGAUUCGGUCCAGUUACAAGACAGAGGCAGAGGAUAUGGAUACAAGAAGUCAAGAAGAUACCCUUCUCUCUGUUUCUAAAUUACAAAGUACCUUGCCUGGAUCUGGAGGUGCAGUUACGGCAAACUCAACAUAGUCAAGGACAGGAAAGAACCAUGGAAAGAAGAAGGGGUUUAGGUGGUAAGCACAUUGACAGGAUCGACGAUCGACAACCCAAUCUAUCUCACUGA